GGUAAAAGAAAAAGUCAGGUUUGUACCUUUUGUAUCAGGGGAGCUUAAAAGUGUAGCUAUAAAUAAAUCGAUUUGAAUGGAGCUUCUUUCUUAGUCUCUAGUUGAAGUUAGAGGGUAAAAUGUUUAAGUGGUGAAAAAUGUUCGACAUUUAUGGUAUCUAAUUACUUUAUUAAUAGAAGGGUCAAGCUUUCUAGUAUUUAUAGAUAUGUAUAUUUAAUAAAACUAGGCUUUAGAGUAGCCACGUUAGUAGGUUGUUUAAAAUAAUUUUAAGGUUACUAUGUGUAAAAUAAAUUUAUAAAAGUCAUGCUUGCAAUUUUCAGCAAAAAAAGAUAAUGAGUUUAUUGAACAAGAAUCGGAGUCUGAAAAUAACUCAAGAAAGGUUAGAAAGUUUAACAAAAACAUUUUUAUGUGUGUAAGAUAUAGUACGACCUGCCCGGUGCUAGAUUAACGGCUGCGGUAUUUUGACUGUGCUAAGGUAGCAUAAUCAUUUGUUUUUUAAUUGGUAACUGGAAUGAACGGUUAAACUAAUUUUUUUAGUUUGUUAGGCUACACAGUAAAUUAAAGUCAAGGUAAGAAUUCUUUGAUAGUCUAGGGGACGAUAAGACCCUAGAAGCUUUAUAACGAGUUUAUUGUUGGUGCUAAUUGGUUAUUUAUUUUACUGGGGCGGUAUAGGCAUUUAAACUAUCUUGGUUUUGAAAGAUCCUCCAAAUAGAGAAAAAACGAGUAAGUUACUCUAGGGAUAACAGUGCAAUAUUUUUGAAGAGAUCUUAUCGAUAAAAAUGUUUGCAACCUCGAUGUUGAAUUAAGAUUUCUGCGUGGAGUAGAAGACACGUGAGAGGGUUUGUUCAACC
rnacentral:rRNA from 1 species